rnacentral:rRNA from 1 species
UACGGAGGGUCCAAGCGUUAUCCGGAAUCAUUGGGUUUAAAGGGUCCGCAGGCGGGCUAUUAAGUCAGUGGUGAAAUCUCUUAGCUUAACUAAGAAAUUGCCAUUGAAACUACUAGUCUUGAAUUCGGUCGAAGUGGGCGGAAUGUGUCAUGUAGCGGUGAAAUGCAUAGAUAUGACACAGAACACCGAUAGCGAAGGCAGCUCACUAGGCCUGAAUUGACGCUCAGGGACGAAAGCGUGGGGAGCGAACAGG